GACGAACGCUGGCGGCGUGCCUAAUACAUGCAAGUAGAACGCUGAAGAGAGGAGCUUGCUCUUCUUGGAUGAGUUGCGAACGGGUGAGUAACGCGUAGGUAACCUGCCUUGUAGCGGGGGAUAACUAUUGGAAACGAUAGCUAAUACCGCAUAACAAUGGAUGGCACAUGUCAUUUAUUUGAAAGGGGCAAUUGCUCCACUACAAGAUGGACCUGCGUUGUAUUAGCUAGUAGGUGAGGUAAUGGCUCACCUAGGCGACGAUACAUAGCCGACCUGAGAGGGUGAUCGGCCACACUGGGACUGAGACACGGCCCAGACUCCUACGGGAGGCAGCAGUAGGGAAUCUUCGGCAAUGGGGGCAACCCUGACCGAGCAACGCCGCGUGAGUGAAGAAGGUUUUCGGAUCGUAAAGCUCUGUUGUAAGUCAAGAACGGGUGUGAGAGUGGAAAGUUCACACUGUGACGGUAGCUUACCAGAAAGGGACGGCUAACUACGUG
rnacentral:rRNA from 1 species